UACAGAGGUCCCAAGCGUUGUUCGGAUUCAUUGGGCGUAAAGGGUGCGUAGGUGGCGCCGUAAGUGGGGUGUGAAAUUUCGGAGCUUAACUCCGAAACUGCAUUCCAUACUGCGGUGCUUGAGGACUUGGAGAGGAGACUGGAAUUCAUGGUGUAGCAGUGAAAUGCGUAGAGAUCAUGAGGAAGACCGGUGGCGAAGGCGGUUCUCUGGGCCUUACCUGACGCUGAGGAGCGAAAGCGUGGGGAGCGAACAGG
rnacentral:rRNA from 1 species